rnacentral:lncRNA from 1 species
GUGUGGCAGUAGAGGCUGAGUGGGGGCUCUCUUCUCAGGCGUGGCACUGUGUGACUUUCCCUGCUAAUGAAAAGAGUGGCCAACUCUUUUCGCCCUCCCCCAUUUUGUUCUUUUUGGUUUUGUACAGAGAAUAAAUUCCCAAUUAGCUGAUUACACUGAAAGUCAAACGAAACCAAAAAGGCAUAUGUUGGGAUGAAGCCACGGCCACCUCCUAUGUUGUGCAGGGAGCAUGCUUACCUCCUGUCACCCUGCACUGCUGACAACAAACUUCAUCAGGGAGCCUGUCAGAUGCCAUCUAAAUGCUUCUGGGGAGCUGUAAAAGGACAUGAGAUUUAUGGGAUAACUAGCUAGGUCCCGUUCUUUGAUUGCCUGGUAUAACUCUAGAAAUGUUAAAUCAGCAGAUUAGGGAAGGACAGAUGAGGUGAGGAGGGUAGGGUCUGUAGAAGAGCCGAGGCUGGGAAAACCCCCAGGUCAGUGCCCCUCCAUCCCGUGACUGCGACCUUCCGUGCAGCAGCUCACAUACCAUGACCUCAGGACCACACACCACCCAGUUAGUAUUUCCCUUUGUUUUCGUGCAGCACCAGGGAUCAACCCCCAGGACUGCACACAGUAGACAAGCACAUUGCCACCUGAUAGUAUGCCUGGCUCUACUGUGUUUCCUUAAGUUAUUAUCUUUUUCCUUAAAUUUAUUCUUUUGCUUGUUUCUUUCUUUCUUUUUUUGUUUUGAGACCGGAUUUCUCUGUCCAGGACAGCCAGGGCUAUACAGAGAAACCCUGUCUUGAAAACC